UGGGGAAUAUUGGACAAUGGGCGAAAGCCUGAUCCAGCCAUGCCGCGUGUGUGAAGAAGGUCUUCGGAUUGUAAAGCACUUUAAGUCGGGAGGAAGGGCAUUAACCUAAUACGUUAGUGUUUUGACGUUACCGACAGAAUAAGCACCGGCUAACUCUGUGCCAGCAGCCGCGGUAAUACAGAGGGUGCAAGCGUUAAUCGGAAUUACUGGGCGUAAAGCGCGCGUAGGUGGUUUGUUAAGUUGGAUGUGAAAUCCCCGGGCUCAACCUGGGAACUGCAUUCAAAACUGACUGACUAGAGUAUGGUAGAGGGUGGUGGAAUUUCCUGUGUAGCGGUGAAAUGCGUAGAUAUAGGAAGGAACACCAGUGGCGAAGGCGACCACCUGGACUAAUACUGACACUGAGGUGCGAAAGCGUGGGGAGCAAACA
rnacentral:rRNA from 1 species